rnacentral:rRNA from 1 species
AGAGUUUGAUCCUGGCUCAGAUUGAACGCUGGCGGAAUGCUUUACACAUGCAAGUCGAACGGCAGCACGGGAGCUUGCUCCUGGUGGCGAGUGGCGAACGGGUGAGUAACAUAUCGGAACAUAUCCUAUCGUGGGGGAUAACUAGUCGAAAGACUAGCUAAUACCGCAUACGUCCUGAGGGAGAAAGCGGGGGCUCGCAAGACCUCGCGCGAUUGGAGUGGCCGAUAUCUGAUUAGCUAGAUGGUGAGGUAAAAGCUCACCAUGGCGACGAUCAGUAGCUGGUCUGAGAGGAUGAUCAGCCACACUGGGACUGAGACACGGCCCAGACUCCUACGGGAGGCAGCAGUGGGGAAUUUUGGACAAUGGGCGAAAGCC